rnacentral:rRNA from 1 species
GACGAACGCUGGCGGCGUGCCUAAUACAUGCAAGUCGAGCGGACAGAUGGGAGCUUGCUCCCUGAAGUCAGCGGCGGACGGGUGAGUAACACGUGGGCAACCUGCCUGUAAGACUGGGAUAACUUCGGGAAACCGGAGCUAAUACCGGAUAAUCCUUUUCCUUUCAUGAGGAAAAGCUGAAAGACGGUUUCGGCUGUCACUUACAGAUGGGCCCGCGGCGCAUUAGCUAGUUGGUGAGGUAACGGCUCACCAAGGCGACGAUGCGUAGCCGACCUGAGAGGGUGAUCGGCCACACUGGGACUGAGACACGGCCCAGACUCCUACGGGAGGCAGCAGUAGGGAAUCUUCCGCAAUGGACGAAAGUCUGACGGAGCAACGCCGCGUGAGUGAUGAAGGCCUUCGGGUCGUAAAGCUCUGUUGUUAGGGAAGAACAAGUAUCGGACGUAACUGCCGGUACCUUGACGGUACCUAACCAGAAAGCCACGGCUAACUACGUG